UACGGAGGGUGCAAGCGUUACUCGGAAUCACUGGGUGUAAAGGGUACGUAGGCGGCCCAUUAAGUCAGAUGUGAAAGCCCGGAGCUCAACUCCGGGAUUGCAUUUGAAACUGGUGGGCUAGAGUACAGGAGAGGAAAGUGGAAUUCCUAGUGUAGCGGUGAAAUGCGUAGAUAUUAGGAAGAACACCAGUGGCGAAGGCGGCUUUCUGGACUGUAACUGACGCUGAGGUACGAAAGCGUGGGGAGCGAACAGGAUUAGAUACCCCGGUAGU
rnacentral:rRNA from 1 species